rnacentral:rRNA from 1 species
AAUCGAACCCGGAGAUAGCUGGUUCUCCUCGAAAUAGCUUUAGGGCUAGCCUCGUAUUAGUCUGGUGGAGGUAGAGCACUGAAUUUCCUAGGGGGCGUCAAAGCCUACCGAAGAAUAUCAAACUGCGAAUGGCGGACAGAUGAUGCUGGGGAGUCAGACUGCACGAGAUAAGUUGGGUGGUCAAAAGGGAAAGAGCCCAGACCUACAGCUAAGGUCCCAAAGUGCGUGUUAAGUGGAAAAGGAUGUGGGAUUUCGAAGACAACUAGGAUGUUGGCUCAGAAGCAGCCACACAUUCAAAGAGUGCGUAAUAGCUCACUAGUCGAGAGGUCCUGCGCCGAAAAUGUCCGGGGCUGAAACACGACACCGAAGCUUAGGAACAGAAAUGUUGGUAGAGGAGCAUUGUUAGCGGAACGAAGCCAUACCGGAAGGAGUGGUGGACUGCUAAGAAGAGAGAAUGCCGGAAUGAGUAGCGAGAUUGAAGUGAGAAUCUUCAAGGCCGAAUAUCUAAGGUUUCCAGGGUAAAGCUGAUCUGCCCUGGGUAAGUCGGGACCUAAGGCGAGGUCGAAAGACGUAGCCGAUGGACAACAGGUUGAAAUUCCUGUACUGCGAUAUAUCAGAAAUGUGGGGACACAGAAGGAAAGUGUGAGCCGGGAAAGGAAAGACCGGUGCAAGCACAGGAGGAGAGAUACAGGCAAAUCCGUAUUUCAAUCCAAUGGUGUUACGCGGAGCGAACAAAAGUAGCGAAGCACAUGGACCAUCUGUCGAGAAAAGCCGCUAUAGUGUAUACCGUACCCGUACCGUAAACCGACACAGGUGGAUGAGGAGAGAAUCCUAAGGCCGGCGGGAGAAGCAUUGUUAAGGAACUCGGCAAAAUGACCCCGUAACUUCGGGAGAAGGGGUGCUCCAGAGAUGGAGCCGCAGAGAACUGGCCCAAGCAACUGUUUAGCAAAAACACAGGUCUAUGCAAAACCGAAAGGUGAGGUAUAUGGGCUGACGCCUGCCCGGUGCUGGAAGGUUAAGGGGAGUGGUCAGGAAACGAAGCCACGAACUUAAGCCCCAGUAAACGGCGGCCGUAACUAUAACGGUCCUAAGGUAGCGAAAUUCCUUGUCGGGUAAGUUCCGACCCGCACGAAAGGCGUAAUGAUUUGGGCACUGUCUCAACGAUACACCCGGUGAAAUUGAAAUACCAGUGAAGAUGCUGGUUACCUGCGCCAGGACGGAAAGACCCCAUGGAGCUUUACUCUAGCUUGAUACUGGG